GGCGAGUGGCGAACGGGUGAGUAACAUAUCGGAACGUAUCCAAUAAUGGGGGAUAACUAAUCGAAAGGUUGGCUAAUACCGCAUACGCCCUACGGGGGAAAGCAGGGGAUCUUCGGACCUUGCGUUAAUGGAGCGGCUGAUAUCUGAUUAGCUAGUUGGUGAGGUAAAGGCUCACCAAGGCGACGAUCAGUAGCUGGUCUGAGAGGACGACCAGCCACACUGGAACUGAGACACGGUCCAGACUCCUACGGGAGGCAGCAGUGGGGAAUUUUGGACAAUGGGCGCAAGCCUGAUCCAGCCAUUCCGCGUGAGUGAAGAAGGCCUUCGGGUUGUAAAGCUCUUUCGCAAGGGAAGAAAACUUACUUUCUAAUAAAGAGUGAGGUUGACGGUACCUUGAUAAGAAGCACCGGCUAACUACGUGCCAGCAGCCGCGGUAAUACGUAGGGUGCGAGCGUUAAUCGGAAUUACUGGGCGUAAAGCGUGCGCAGGCGGCUUUGUAAGUCAGAUGUGAAAUCCCCGAGCUCAACUUGGGAACUGCGUUUGAAACUACAAGGCUAGAAUAUGUCAGAGGGGGGUAGAAUUCCACGUGUAGCAGUGAAAUGCGUA
rnacentral:rRNA from 1 species